rnacentral:lncRNA from 1 species
CGCCUCUUAGCCUCCUCGUCUAAGCCCGCUUGCGGUGCGUAAGCGCUAAUGCCGUUGAGGACGCAACCCCCAAUAACCAUCUUAAUAGACAUUAACCUAUCAUUCACUCGCCUAACCUCUACCACGGACUCCCUUAGAUCCAUAUCUAUCAGGAUGCCUACUCCAUUCUUACCUUUCACGACCCCAGAAUACCACAGCUUAAACCCGUCUAC